rnacentral:rRNA from 1 species
GUAGGGUGCAAGCGUUGUUCGGAAUCAUUGGGCGUAAAGCGCGUGUAGGUGGUUUAUUAAGUCGAUUGUGAAAUCCCUGGGCUCAACCGAGGAAGUGCAGUCGAAACUAAUUGACUAGAAGAUGGUAGAGGAAGGUGGAAUUCCAAGUGUAGAGGUGAAAUUCGUAGAUAUUUGGAGGAAUACCGGCGGCGAAGGCGGCCUUCUGGGCCAUUCUUGACACUGAGACGCGAAAGCGUGGGUAGCAAACAGGAUUAGAUACCCUGGUAGUCCACGCUGUAAACGAUGAGUACUAGGUGUUGUGGGAAUUGACCCCUACAGUGCCGCAGCUAACGCAUUAAGUACUCCGCCUGGGAAGUACGGCCGCAAGGUUA